AUGAUUUCAAUAGACCACUACCACAAAUUAAAGAUGGUGUCGCAUACCAUGUCUUUCAUUGUCAUUCUACUCGCUGUUUCCGGUGCCCAGGCUGGAGUGUAUGGACGCAGGAGAAGCAACAAUAUGCCUGGCGGUAUGCCUGGUAGUGGUAUGCCAGGCAAUGGAAUGCCCAACAUGGGUUCCUCACCAAAUGGAAUGAUGACUGGAAACAUGAUGCCAGCCCCUGAGCCAGCUCAAGGAAUGAUGCCAAACGCAAUGAACUCGGCAACGUCAAGUAUGAUGCCCGGAUCAAUGAUGCAAGGCCCUUCAAAUGGAAUGAUGCCCGGUGCAAUGAUGAAUAACCCACCCGGUAUGAACCAGGGUCAAAUGAUGCCAGCUCCUGAACCAGCUUCUGGUAUGAUGCCAGGUUCCUCGUCAAAUGGAAUGAUGCCAGGCUCAAUGAUGAACGGUCAAUCCUCUGGAAUGAAUCAGGGUCCUAUGAUGCCAGCCCCUGAACCUGCCUCUGGUAUGAUGUCAGGAGCAAUGAUGCCAGGGGGUAUGAUGGCAGGUGGUAUGCAAGGACAAAUGAUGGCUGGGGGAGAAAUGAUGCCAAUGGGAAACGGUGGUCAAAUGGGACAAGGCAUGGGUGCAGGUGGUAUGGGUGCAGGAGGCGAGGCAGCAAUGCCAGCACCACCCCAACCAGCAGAGCCAGCGCAGCCCGCUGAAGUUGAAGGAGGAGAGUUUGAAGGUGGCGCUGCUGGUGGAGGCGCUAAUGCUGGCUCUAAAAUGAUGAUUAUGGUAGGCGGAGCCAAUGGAGGUGGUACAUUGGUGUCAUCUGGCGGUGCUGGUGCCGGUGAUAUGAUGGUCAUGACACCUGGUAUGGGAAGUGGAAUGGGAGGAAACAUGGGAAUGAAUGGAAUGGGAGGAAUCCCAAUGUCACCUAUAAAUAUGGGUAUGAUGAUGGCUGCUGCCUCAAUGAUGAAUGGAAUGAACUCGGGAAUGAAAGGAUCAAUGAUGGCAGGACCAAACAUGAUGAUGCCACCCAUGAUGAUGGGAGGUCCUCAAAUUAUGAUUCCUUCUCCAAAAAUGGUCCCAAUGCAAAUGAUGCCUGCAAUGAUUAAUAUGCCUAACGCAAUGGGAAACAUGAUGACACCUGGAAUGAACGGUAUGAUGGGAAAUGCAAUGAUACCAGCUAUGGGAAAUUCUAUGGGACCAGGAAUGAUGGGAAAUAAAAUGGGACCAGGAAUAAUGGGAAAUAUGAUGGGACCAGGAUAUCCAUCAGGAAUGGUCAAUAAUGGAAAAGGUUCCAUGAUGAGACUAUGGUAGAAAGAGCUGCUCUUGCUUAUCCAAGAAGACAAUGAAAACUGUAUUUUGUUAUUUUCGAUUUAAAAUAUUAUGUAUACAAUACCAAAUACCGUUUUACUUAUUGUAUUUCUGGUUCAUAUUAUAAAGUUUCAUU
rnacentral:sRNA from 1 species